AACGAACGCUGGCGGCAUGCCUAACACAUGCAAGUCGAACGAGACCUUCGGGUCUUGUGGCGCACGGCUGCGUAACGCGUGGGAACCUGCCCUUAGGUUCGGAAUAACUCCCCGAAAGGGGUGCUAAUACCGGAUAAUGUCUUCGGACCAAAGAUUUAUCGCCUUUGGAUGGGCACGCGUUGGAUUCGCUAGUUGGUAGGGUAAAAGCCUACCAAGGCGAGGAUCCAUAGCUGGUCUGAGAGGAUGAUCAGCAACACUGGGACUGAGACACGGCCCAGACUCCUACGCGAGGGAGCAGUGGGGAAUAGAGGACAAUGGAGGAAGGCCUGAUACAGCAAUGCCGGGUGAGUGAUGAAGGCCUUAGGGUUGUAAUGCGCUUUUACCCGGGAUGAUAAUGACAGUACCGGGUGAAUAAGCACCGGCUAACUCCGUG
rnacentral:rRNA from 1 species